rnacentral:siRNA from 1 species
CCAUGGGGUGCCGAUAAUCGC